rnacentral:rRNA from 1 species
GAUGAACGCUGGCGGCGUGCCUAAUACAUGCAAGUCGAGCGAACGGACGAGAAGCUUGCUUCUCUGAUGUUAGCGGCGGACGGGUGAGUAACACGUGGAUAACCUACCUAUAAGACUGGGAUAACUUCGGGAAACCGUAGCUAAUACCGGAUAAUAUUUUGAACCGCAUGGUUCAAAAGUGAAAGACGGUCUUGCUGUCACUUAUAGAUGGAUCCGCGCUGCAUUAGCUAGUUGGUAAGGUAACGGCUUACCAAGGCAACGAUGCAUAGCCGACCUGAGAGGGUGAUCGGCCACACUGGAACUGAGACACGGUCCAGACUCCUACGGGAGGCAGCAGUAGGGAAUCUUCCGCAAUGGGCGAAAGCCUGACGGAGCAACGCCGCGUGAGUGAUGAAGGUCUUCGGAUCGUAAAACUCUGUUAUUAGGGAAGAACAUAUGUGUAAGUAACUGUGCACAUCUUGACGGUACCUAAUCAGAAAGCCACGGCUAACUACGUGCCAGCAGCCGCGGUAAUACGUAGGUGGCAAGCGUUAUCCGGAAUUAUUGGGCGUAAAGCGCGCGUAGGCGGUUUUUUAGUCUGAUGUGAAAGCCCACGGCUCAACCGUGGAGGGUCAUUGGAAACUGGAAAACUUGAGUGCAGAAGAGGAAAGUGGAAUUCCAUGUGUAGCGGUGAAAUGCGCAGAGAUAUGGAGGAACACCAGUGGCGAAGGCGACUUUCUGGUCUGUAACUGACGCUGAUGUGCGAAAGCGUGGGGAUCAAACAGGAUUAGAUACCCUGGUAGUCCACGCCGUAAACGAUGAGUGCUAAGUGUUAGGGGGUUUCCGCCCCUUAGUGCUGCAGCUAACGCAUUAAGCACUCCGCCUGGGGAGUACGACCGCAAGGUUGAAACUCAAAGGAAUUGACGGGGACCCGCACAAGCGGUGGAGCAUGUGGUUUAAUUCGAAGCAACGCGAAGAACCUUACCAAAUCUUGACAUCCUUUGACAACUCUAGAGAUAGAGCCUUCCCCUUCGGGGGACAAAGUGACAGGUGGUGCAUGGUUGUCGUCAGCUCGUGUCGUGAGAUGUUGGGUUAAGUCCCGCAACGAGCGCAACCCUUAAGCUUAGUUGCCAUCAUUAAGUUGGGCACUCUAAGUUGACUGCCGGUGACAAACCGGAGGAAGGUGGGGAUGACGUCAAAUCAUCAUGCCCCUUAUGAUUUGGGCUACACACGUGCUACAAUGGACAAUACAAAGGGCAGCGAAACCGCGAGGUCAAGCAAAUCCCAUAAAGUUGUUCUCAGUUCGGAUUGUAGUCUGCAACUCGACUACAUGAAGCUGGAAUCGCUAGUAAUCGUAGAUCAGCAUGCUACGGUGAAUACGUUCCCGGGUCU